UACAGAGGGGGCAAGCGUUGUUCGGAAUUACUGGGCGUAAAGGGCGCGUAGGUGGCCUGUUAAGUCGAACGUGAAAUCCCCGGGCUCAACCUGGGAACUGCAUCUGUGACUGCAUCGCUGGAGUGCGGCAGAGGGGGAUGGAAUUCCGCGUGUAGCAGUGAAAUGCGUAGAUAUGUGGAGGAAUACCGAUGGCGAAGGCAGCCCCCUGGGAUAACACUGACGCUCAUGCACGAAAGCGUGGGGAGCAAACAGG
rnacentral:rRNA from 1 species